AUUGAACGCCGGCGGCAUGCCUUACACAUGCAAGUCGAACGGCAGCACGGGUGCUUGCACCUGGUGGCGAGUGGCGAACGGGUGAGUAAUACAUCGGAACGUACCUUAUCGUGGGGGAUAACGCAGCGAAAGCUGUGCUAAUACCGCAUACGCCCUGAGGGGGAAAGCGGGGGAUCGAAAGACCUCGCGCGAUUAGAGCGGCCGAUGCCUGAUUAGCUUGUUGGUGGGGUAAAAGCCCACCAAGGCGACGAUCAGUAGCUGGUCUGAGAGGACGAUCAGCCACACUGGGACUGAGACACGGCCCAGACUCCUACGGGAGGCAGCAGUGGGGAAUUUUGGACAAUGGGGGCAACCCUGAUCCAGCAAUGCCGCGUGAGUGAAGAAGGCCUUCGGGUUGUAAAGCUCUUUUGUCAGGGAAGAAACACCGGCUCUAACACAGUCCGGGAAUGACGGUACCUGAAGAAUAAGCACCGGCUAACUACGUGCCAGCAGCCGCGGUAA
rnacentral:rRNA from 1 species